rnacentral:lncRNA from 1 species
AUGAAAAAGAGGGAGGAGUUUCAAGAGGUCCAUUUGAGGAGGAAGAAUUUUCCAAGUGUGAGGGACAGUCUGGGCAGAAACAUAGAGGCAGAAGAUAAGGGUUUUACAAAAGAGAAAGACUUUCAUACAUGUCUCCUACCUCCUAAUCGUCAUCCUCAGUUGCCGAGAGACUACUACUACUACUACUACUACUACUACCUCCUAACAAAAAAAUUAAUCAAUGAACUCAAGAUGGAGAGAGGCAUAUAUUUUUGGAUAUAUCAAAGGUACAAUGACUCAGUGUUAUCCUGGAAUUUCCAAGGACUCCUAAGCCAUCAUAACUCAUUUUUUGGGCCUUUGAGAAAUGACGAACUUCUGAUGGCUUCCAAUCUUAUGGUGACCCAGUGUACAAUGGUUUGGCAUUUUAGGAUGAUGUAUUGGUUCCUUGAUCCUUCCUCAUCCCAUGAAAACAUCAAGGAGAUGCUGCAUUUGGUAAAAAUGGGAAUAGUUUCCAUCUGGCUUUCUCUUGGCUGUGACUUUCCAGAUGUAAUCAUGCAACUCUACUGA